rnacentral:lncRNA from 1 species
AAGCAGGUUCAUUUCACUGCAGGAACCUUCGCUUCCUCUAAUUGGCAACCUGGUGAAUGUAGCUGGGCAGGGAGGCCCUCCCGCAGGCACCAGCCUAGCUUGGCUUUGCAGGUCCUCCAGUGGCUCUCCCAAGCCCCAGUCCUGGCUCCUCACGGAAGCCAGUAGGGUUUCAGAAGCCUCCUUGCUGCUCCUCCUGCCUAGAACUGCAUCUAAACUUGCUCCAGAGAAGGGUUUAAGUCACUGUCGGGAAAGUGCCUUCUCGUUUCAACCUGUGUGUGCUUGCUGUGAUAUGCUUGAUCCUUCAACCCUUGGUUCUUCAGAAAAAUGUAAGAGACAAUAUCAAUUUACAGUCUAGAGAUCAAGUCCGAAUUGCGUACAUGUGUAAUGUUUGAUUACGAAAUUCUUUCUACAGCAAUGAUUUUGUAUUCAAACCCCAUAUACGCACCUUGAACUAACCGUUAACAUUUUACUCUGGUCAUUCCCUUUAUCGUUUGUCUAUCUCUCCAGCCACCUGAGCAAUACUUAUUUCAUAACACAUUUCAAAGUAGCUUAGAGACACCACACUCCUGCUUCCUAAUCGUGCCAGUACAAUUAGGGUUCAAUAAGAAACGGACAGAUCUUGUGUGCACAGUCGCUGGUUUUGAUAAGUGCGUACACCCCCUUAUGUUACCCUAAGCUCUGUCAAUAGAGCCCUACCACUCCCAGAAAGUU